GGGAAUGUGGCUCGGUAGUAGAGUACUUGCCUUGCAUGCAUGAAGCCCUGGGUUCGAUUCCUCAGUACCA
rfam:Dipodomys ordii contig_1414, whole genome shotgun sequence.